GGCCGGCUCCCAGCCCUGCCCCCUGCCGGCACAGCCCCCGCCGGGCCGGGCAGCGCCGCCGGGACCCCCCCGCCGCCGGGGCUCUGCCGCUGUCCCCCCGCCACCGGGGACACGGUCCCGCCGCGCUCGAGUUCUGCGAGUCCCGGCGGGGAGGGAGGAAGGCAGGAGACAGCCCCGCCGCCCGCCCCAGCAGCGCCGGGGCCGCCGCGCGGGGCCUGGCGGGGCCGGUGCCCGCGGGUGCCCGGCCACAGAAGGCACCGCGUGCGGGGACACCGAGCGCGGCCUGCCGGGGCUCCCGGGGGCUGGAACCACGGGCCGGCUGCAUGGCCGGGAAGAAGAGACACCUCUGUCUUAAAUCGCCGGUGGGUGCGGAUGGCCAGGCGGGAGGGCUCCUUUAUGAGCACGCUGUAAACGAGGGAGCCUCCGUCUUUGCACCUACCCCAAGGCACCAGCCUCCUGCAAAGGGCGCUCCACUGAAACUCAAGGUACCUUCUUUUUUACCCAUUUUUAAACUGUCGCUGUUACAGCGCUGCAGACUGAAGUCUCGGUGUUGGCGCUGCACACAGAAAGGUGCAUUUCACAUGCAGGGAUGGUUAGGGAAACUAACCAAAACUGUCUCCAGUUCAUGAAGUUACACAAAACCCACAACACAAGGCUAGAAAGCACAGGAGCACAGAAAAACUCCUUUGACAAAACAGUACUAUCAUAUACAAAAGCCGUUCAAAAGAACUCUUUCAUCUGAAUAAAUUCUAAUAUGUACUAAAAAGCAUCUCCCUCCAGACAAAUAGGAACCCAGCAGAAGGGUGAAUAUCUAACUGAAUUACCUUGUGCUCCGGCAGGGGUUCCUACUCACACACCACCUUUCAAAGCCUUCUCUGCUUUUGUUUCCCUUAAUACCUGGAAGAUGUGACCAGGUGUCUCUGACCAGCUCAUGAGAUGGAUAUUUUUCCAGAGACUGCACUCUAGGAUGUAACAAGCUUCUGGUCAGCACUUCAGUGGAACGAAAGAGUGGGGAUAUACACUUAGAUGUUAACGUCUAGAGCAGAAUACUGAGGCACAUAGACCAGGCAUAACAAAAGAAAUGCUGUUUAGGUGUGAGAAUCUAUCAAGCAUGUGUGGCAAAACUAAUAUUUUUGAGAGCAUCAGGAGUUUUUCAUGCCCUCAAUAAAUACUCCACAGUUUCACAGUUUUACUCUUGAAUAGAAAAGGAAAAAAUAAAACCCAGUUAAAAUGCUAAAUGUUUCAUGAAACAGUAGCUCUUAUUUUCCAGUCAACUCUACUUCAUAUGCUGAAAAACAGCUCUUAGCUAGAAACAAAGCCAGUAGCAUACAGUUCAGGACUGUUAGAAGGAUGGAAGAUAUUACUAACAUCCCUGGGAUUCAUGCUAAACUCAGUUUUUGUUGUCUGCUGUGACUUAUGCUGAAAAAUCAUCACUCUGUCUUAAUUUAUAAGCUAUUUUAGACAGGACCUUGCUCAUGCACCAAGUCACAGCAAAAAGCUUAAUGGAACUGCCCUUCUCCAUGUCCCCAGCCACCCAGGAUCAUUGCUCCAUCACACUCCUCAGCAAUCCCUGCUCCACAGCCAUCGUGAAAGCUACAGUGCCAUGUCAGGGCACAUAUCAAACUGAGACUAGAGCAGUUACCUCACCCUUCUCCCAGAGCUGUCCUUCAGUCCUCUGCUACACCUGAGCACCAGAGAGCGAGCCUGCAGCCCUGCUGGAACAAGGCCAGAAGUAGUGUGCACAGUGAAGCCCUAAAACAGAACUGGUGGUUCUCUGGUACUUCAGUAAUAGCAUAAAAAAAUAAUAGUCCUCUUUCUGCAAAUGCUUCAGCAGCAUGUUUGAGAUGAGAACAAUUCUGGAUCUGGCUGAUCAAGGACAGUACAGUGAGAUCCAAAGUCAAGGUGCCCUCCUUGCUUAGCAGCCAACAUGGAGCUGUAAAUGAGGGGCUCUCAUUUAGAGAGGCCAGGACUGAAGUGCAGCACUAGGUGCUGUGCCAUACCUGAGGACCAGCCUUUACCACGUUGUCAGGAAGCAAAGGGAGGUAGAGGGAAGGUUCUUGCAGACUUCCAGUUCUGGGGAACAGCUGCUGCCUCUGUAGAGCACUUGAUUAUCAGUCGUGCCCCACCAACAGCAGACACCUUUGUUCACAGGCUCCUCAAAACAGACACCAAAGCUAAACAUGCCAGAAGCAUCACCCUCUUGUAGUGCUAUGAAACAUCUGUGGCAUCAUUUAAAUCCAGCCCAGCAGCUCACUCCUCCAUUACAGCCUCUGCAUGAAUUACAAAUGUGAGGCAGCAGACACUCAGUACAAGAGCACAGUCUGGGCAAGAUCUGUUUACAGACCUUCUUAAAGAAAGUACCCAAUAUAUAAAGGUGUUUUCAUUCUCUUGGAGCUGGGGUCAGGAGACCUCAAAGGGACAACAUAUUUUGGAAGCAUUGAUUAUCCUUGAUAGGGUAGUCAGAGCAUGGGUAUCUCAGUCUGAGAUUCCCCGUCUGCCCAGUAUGUCUGGACAUUUAAUAUAGAUUAAUCUGUUAUUACAAAUCAUUCAACCAAGUUCUCCUUGACCUGCAGUCUGAGACAUCCUGGGACAAGAGAAGGAGCUAAAACAGGCCCUUUCUCAGUCUGUUUGAAGGUACAGCUGUUAAGAGGAUACAACUUAUCUUCAUUAUUAAAAGGAUGGUUAUUAGGAGUGAUGCCACAGGAAACCCUGGAGAAUCAAAAACAUUCCCCUUUGCAACAGACUGGCAGUAUGGGGAAACAUCACACUGAAGUCGCAGUUCCUUGUUAAGCACUUCUCCUCCUCCUCAGUGACGUGUCACACUGUCAUUCCAGAAUGUCACCUUGAUGGAGAGAACAACUUCUUGAGAGGAGUCAUCUGCUUGGAGCAACAAAAGCCACCUCCUUCAGAAAUACACCCACAGAAGUGUGCAAGGCCAGGACAAUAACGUCAUGUCAGGGCGUAAUUAAAACUCCUGAGCAGUUA